rnacentral:rRNA from 1 species
CCUACUCCUACGGGAGGCAGCAGUGGGGAAUAUUGCACAAUGGGCGCAAGCCUGAUGCAGCGACGCCGCGUGAGGGAUGACGGCCUUCGGGUUGUAAACCUCUUUCAGUAGGGAAGAAGCGUAAGUGACGGUACCUGCAGAAGAAGCGCCGGCUAACUACGUGCCAGCAGCCGCGGUAAUACGUAGGGCGCAAGCGUUAUCCGGAAUUAUUGGGCGUAAAGAGCUCGUAGGCGGUUUGUCGCGUCUGCCGUGAAAGUCCGGGGCUCAACUCCGGAUCUGCGGUGGGUACGGGCAGACUAGAGUGAUGUAGGGGAGACUGGAAUUCCUGGUGUAGCGGUGAAAUGCGCAGAUAUCAGGAGGAACACCGAUGGCGAAGGCAGGUCUCUGGGCAUUAACUGACGCUGAGGAGCGAAAGCAUGGGGAGCGAACAGGAUUAGAUACCCUGGUAGUCCAUGCCGUAAACGUUGGGCACUAGGUGUGGGGGACAUUCCACGUUUUCCGCGCCGUAGCUAACGCAUUAAGUGCCCCGCCUGGGGAGUACGGCCGCAAGGCUAAAACUCAAAGGAAUUGACGGGGGCCCGCACAAGCGGCGGAGCAUGCGGAUUAGUUUGAUGCAACGCGAAGAACCUUACCAAGGCUUGACAUGAACCGGAAAGAGACUGAAAGCAGGC